rnacentral:lncRNA from 1 species
CUAGCACCAAAUCGGAAAAGUACGUAAUAUGAUGGACAAGGGGAAAGGAAAAGUUACUGAUGAACCAUCUAACUAGUGCGUUUGCAUUGAUGACAGUGUGUGAUUCAUCAUCUCCACAAUAUAGAGCGCAAGAAUCAGUGCAACACCACCGUCGCCAAGUUUCUAAAUCCCUCUUUUAUGUUCUUCAGUCUAUUUUGAUCUUUAUAUGCAUAUAUUGAAGGCAAUAUAUGAUUAGGUUUAGGGUAAAAAUAUCGAGAUGUUCUCCUAUUUGUUUCUUAGUAUAAUUUAACAUGUUUGUGUGAUUUGAAAUUGUUUUAUGUUAACAAUUUUAUAGCUUUCAGAUAUAUUUACAAAGAAAAAAAAAAAAAAGGAAAUUUGUGAAACUCUAAUAAUAUUUUCGUUUGUUUAUUUGUGCUUAUAUGUGUUAGAUGGUCUUGCCGAUUAAUGAUGAAACUAUUAGAAUUGCUUAUAACUUUAUUGUUACUAGGUUGUGUUGCUUAGAUUAGUUUUACGCUUAUGAAUGUGAAAUCAUGAUAUACUUUUGAGUACAGUAGUCGAGUUAGUUAUCUUAAAUUUGUGUAUAUUGAAGGCAAUAUAUGAUUAGGUUUAGGGUAAAAAUAUCGAGAUGUUCUCCUAUUUGUUUCUUAGUAUAAUUUAACAUGUUUGUG